CUUCUUCAUCUUCGUCUUUUUUUCCCCUUUUGGCACAUGGCUUGCCUUUUUCUAUUCUCAUCGCCAAUCCUAUUUGAACAGUUAGUAGUCACUUCUCGUGAAUUGAAGCUUGUGGAAAUCUGUGACACCACGGGAGUAGUUUCUGUGGCAAUGCUGAAUUGGGGUUACUUUUAAUGAAUUAUCAUGUGAUCCUAACUGUCUGUUGUUUCUUAUAUGUUCGACAUGCCUUGUAAUCUAAUGAGGGUUGGGGAUAAAAAGCAAGUAUGCGGAAAAGAAAAGAUGUAGUUCGUUAGAAUAGGGCAUGUCUCCAGUACAAAGGUAAAAAAAGAAAACUGAGCCACAUGGAGGAACUAGGUGGUCCAAGGUCUAAUAUGAGUGAGAGGGAUAGGCUUGAAAGCAUGGUACUUGGGAUGAUUUCUGGGCUAUGAUACUUGGGUCCUUCAAGAGACUGGAGUAUUUGACUAGGCUACUUGGAUAUUCAGAUAAGGAUCUCCUUUUCCUUGGACUUGAGACUCGAGAUCCACCUGCAAUUUUGGACUGUAGACCAACUAAUUAUUGUGAACUCAAGAGUGAAUCUGGCUGAUUGAUCCACAACGCAACUUGUGGAUAUUGUUAGGAAAAUACUUUAACAGGAUUAUAUUACAAUAUAUAACCAAUAUUUGCAAUUUUCCAAAAUCCUUAAAUGAUUCUCUUGUGGGUACAGAAGAGCUCUUCUUGUCCGAUGCACUGCGAAAGAAAUAUGUGAUUUUCAGAAGUUCUACUAAGGCCCUGUUUGGUAUCAAGGAAUGAAAAUGUGGAUUUGGUAAAUCCAUGAACUUGUCAGAUUCAUGGUUUUGCAUCGGAUUUGGAUUUGGCAAAUUCCAAAGGCCACUGUUUGGAAAUCAAACUAGUAAACUCCACAUCCAUGGAUUUGUGGAGCAUUUAUUGCAAAGGAUUUUUUUUGUUGCUUUUAUAAGAGACUUUCAUUUUGGAGAGUUGCUGUCUUUAGUUUUUUUUUUUAGGGAGUGGGAUUUGCCCCUUAUCCAUGGAUUUAUGGAGGCGUGAAUUGGGAAAUCCAUGGAUUUGGCAAAUCCCCAACAAAAAUCAAAGAGGGGAGAUUUGAAAUCUGUGCAUUUCACAAAUCGACGCCCCAUAUACCUCACCUCAAACGGCCCCCAAGAGCAGAAAAUCCAAAAUCACAAACAUAUUUUUCUCCCUUCCUGAAGUUGCCACGAGCAAACUCAGCCUAAGAAUUUGGCUUUUCUGUGUCAUAUACUUCCUAUGCUUGAUAGAGGGUACUUGUAUUCAUAUUAGUUGGGAGUGGAGUACCCAGCUGGCCAGGUUCAUGAGACCCUGUCCUUUGGUCAACUGGCUACUGUCUAUGAGCUUGCACAGUAUGCAACUAGCUUAAAUAUGGAUGUUCAGUUACUUCAUCUGUGGUUGAAGUUAAUACUUUAUGUGGGUUGGGCAGGCCAACUAGCGUUUGUGAUGAUUUCACAUGCCCUUUUGCAGCAGUUUAUUAAUUCAUGGAUGUAUGUCAGCACCAGCAAUAGUUGCUUACGGGGAAGCUGAUAACUUGUAUCUAUUUGGAAUUCUUGAAACUAUUGCGAUCUUCAACUGACUUUUAAUCGGCCAAGGAUCUUUAGUAGAAUUUUUGGAAAGAACGUUGUCUGAAAUAAUUAAAGAGGUUUGUCCAACCUUUCUGAGAUUUUGGUGUUAACCAAAAGAAAACAGCUUAUCAUCCUGUGGGAUCUGAUGCUGGAACAGAUUAUGCCCUUCAUAUGGAGCUUCUGUUAUCAGGAGUUUAAAAAAUGUUAUUUGAUGGAAGAUGUUUGUUUCUAAAACGGUUGGUUGAUGUGGUAGCUUAUAUGUGCCAACUGUAGUCAAUCUGUCAAAGUCAUCUUAUAAGAUGUAGUAGGAUUAAGCGAGGUUGUACAGAACCUCCCUGUUCUAACCCCUAAAUCCAUAAAAAUUACAAACUACAACUAGAACCCACUUACCAAUUAGAAUUAGAACAGUUUUGUAUUAACUACCAUCAUGACAACUGAUUGAUUCUUAACUGGCCAUCGUUUUAGUACUACUGAGGUGCCCCACCUGAUGAGUGGAUAUGUUUCAAAAUAUUGGCGGUUAUCUUUCCGACGAAAAAAAAAAAAACAACAAACAAAAGAAAAAGACAA